AUGAAGUCCAGCCCGGGCUCGGUCCUGGGCCCCUGGGCAGUGCGCAGGGUGAGACGGGAGAGCCCCACCCCAUCCUCUGGGGCCCAGGUCCUGGCCUGGCCCAGGGACACCCCGCCCACCCCCAGGCCCCGGCCCUGCCCACCUGGCGUCCAGCGGCAGCUCCUUCUUCUCCUGGAAGUGGCCAAUCUCCUUGCGCAGCAACGCCAUCCAGCUCUGCAGGUGAGCCAGGGCCUCAGCGGGCAGGACCCGCGUUCACCUGCCCUGCCCUCCCCACCCCGGCCCGCCCGCACCCGCCCCCACCGCCCGCGCCCCCGNNNNNNNNNNNNNNNNNNNNNNNNNNNNNNNNNNNNNNNNNNNNNNNNNNNNNNNNNNNNNNNNNNUUGCCUCAGCCUCAGAGGAGGCGGAGAAGAACCACGUGCGGUGCUUCUUGCUGAUGUGGAUGAUCUUGAAGGGGAAGACGUUGUUGGACGUCGUCUCCUCAGCCGCCCGCAUCACCCUGAGAGCAGUACCAGUGGUCACCGUCUGCUCCCCGCCCACAGGGACCGCCUGAGGACAGCCGGCCCCCGGGCAGGCCUUGGCCCCCAGCACCACGGCCCCAGGAACACGGUCAUCCUCCUCCCGCCCCCAUGCUGGGGGCCUGGGUGCUCGCAGCAGAGGGAAGCAUGUGGGCAAGGGCGGGCGGUGAGAGACAGUGCCAAUCCAGGAGGGCUUCCAGGAAGCGGUGGUGCGCAGGGCUCCGGGUCAGGGACAUGCCCCCCUCGCUGCGCCCCGCAGCGAGACUUUACUUGGAUGCCUAACCCCUGGCCUGCCUGCUGGGGGACCCUCACAGGGCUCGGGUCAGCCUCGGCCCCACCCCUGUUCCCAGGCAGCGUGCCCCAGAGCACUUCAGAAAAGUGGCCAUGGCUGGUCCUGCAGCCGAGACGUGGGGUUCAGGGAACGAUCACGUCUGCCCGGGGCAUGCGGUCAGGCUGGGCACCCAGGCAGGUGCCCUCAGGGGGCCUGGACCAUACCCUGGGGCAAGGCGGCACCCCCCCCCGGCUCCAGGCGGGGGGUCUGGGGAAAAGAAAAGUCCCUCUAGCUCCUGUCAUUACGGCACAGAGAGACAAACAGAAAGAAGAGCACUUAGAGAAUCUGAGUUUCUGGCUAUUUCCUGGCCAACCUGGCCGAGCCCCUUAACCUUCUGGAGUCUCAGCUACUUCAUCUGUGAAACGGGGACAGCAACAUCAUCCCUGAUUAUCAUACAGAACUGUUGUGAGGACUAAAUAACAGAAUGUGCAAAAAAUGUAUUUAAAGUUGUAUAAAAAAGAAAGAUUCAUACCAUAAAAAAUAUUCCAGGUGCAGGAAAAAAAAAAUGUCCCUCUUCCCGGUGCCCACUGGCAGCCACAGGGCCCUGGAGCCUCCCCUGUCUUCCGCCUGCAGACCUGCCACUGGGCUGGAAGCCAGGAUGUGCACAAAGGCCCAGAAUCACUUCCCAAGGGUCCCCGUCCUGCCACUGACACCAUGGGACCCGUGGGUUCCCCCAGGCAGACAAGGCCAGGCCCUCCUCAGGGGACCAGAGUGUAGUGACCCCAAGGCCUGGGUGGUGUGACCCCAAGACCUAGACCCAGGAAUCACACCCUCCGAGGCUGCGGGCAGGCCCGCACACGCCAACACGCCCCAUCCCAUCCGGGCGCCUGGUCCACGGCCCAGCGGACCAUUAGUCACAAAGCCCCUGGGGGGCAGGCUCGUGGCUGAUUAAAGCCCCAGCGCACAGCCUGGGCCCGCAGGCUGGGCUCCCGGCCAAAAGGAGGUGGCAGUGGGGGAGAGGGCGAGGCAUGGGGAAGAAGGGAGACUUAAGGGAGACUGGAGAGUUCCAACCCUGGAGGAGGCCCUCGCCUCGCCCCCAGGCCCUUGGCCAACCCUGAGGGCUGGCUUUCAGGAGAGGAGGGACUGGCAGAGGUGGGGCUGGUCCAAAGGGCUGGGGUCGCAAACAGGAAGGCCUGGGCCCACCUUAGUGGGAGCCGGGGGGAGCCACUGCCCCCGGCAGCACGGUCAGCGCACUUCCCGGUUGUAGCCGCUCAGCGAGAAGGCGCCCUGCGGCGAGGCGGACGUGCUGCUCUUGAAGUAGUAGAUGCAACGUUUGUGGAUGACCACAAAGCGCAGGGGCCCUGCGGGCGGGGCGGGGCGGGCGAGCCUCAGUCCUGGGCAGGCCCCACUCUGGGGACCAUGCCCAGAGGCCCAGGAUGGCUCCAGGCCAGAGUCUACAUGGGCAGCAGGUCGAUGGGCAUGCAGGCCCCUCCGGGGGCAGGGGGAGAUUCAGGGGACUGUGUGACGCGCCUAGGAACAAGGACUAAAGCUGGCUCAAGGAAGGGCAGACGGGGCCAGCAGCCAGGGAAGCCAGAGCCACCUCGCUGGUGCUGCCCAGCUGCUGGGAGGUGGUGGAAUGAGGGCGGGGGCAAAAAACCCCAGAGAUGCUGCCAACAAGAGUGCCCCACCCCCAUCGCCCAACAUGGAGCUGACCCCAGGUAGUGAUGGUGAGAGCCCCAUCCCUGAGCAGCUCCUCCUAGGCCCGGGAGCAGCUCAGCUGCAGGCCCUCGUUGGAGCCUCCAGUUCAGAAGAGGAGAAGGGAGACACCAAACCAGUCAGCCUGGGGCACCUCAACCAGGCAGCACAGAGUCAGGGAGUCCCUGGCAGAGGGCACAGCUCGAGCAACCCCAUGGGACCUCGCAGCUGGUUAGAGGGACGGACAAGGCCCUGAUGCUCUUGGGCCUUCAGUGUCUCGAAGCCCGGCACCUCCCAGGCCUGGGGGCUCCCCCUCUCCCAGUCUGCUGUCCUAGGGACCAGAGCCCCGGUCUCAUGAAGCUCUCCAGAGACCCAGCGCCCAGAUGGGUGUUGGCUUGGCACCUGGGUUCACUACGGACAGAGUGACUGAUUCACUGAACACCGAACUGAUACGGUGAGGGCACCAUCCAGGAGCCAGACCUACCAGACCAACAAGGGCCCACAGCUCCUGGCCAGCUGGUCAGCAUUGUGUGUCCGAUGCCCUCCAGUCUCCCCCAGCUGCAUCACCACAGACCCUCCCACAGCCCUGGGGGCUAAAAAGGACAAGUUCAGGGCACGGGGGUGCAUGAGCAGAGACAGACGGGAAACUCCAGAGGGCCCAUGGCGAGGAAGGAAGCAGAGGCGCAGGAAGGCGGGUUACCUGCCACAGAGGCCCAAGAAGGCUCAGCCCUAUCCCCGGGGCCUCCCUUCAUGCCCCCCACCCCCACACAGGAGACUCACAUUUGAGUAGCUGCAGCUGGGUCCCGCCUUUCUUGUGCAGGUAGCCAGCCUUGGCCACACCCCCAGGCAUGGUGAGCAAGUUCUGCGCACCGAUGGCCUUCAUAGGCACAGGCCAGUGCGUCUCUUCAGCCGCCAUGAAGCUACGAUACAAAGGGAAGGGGACGUGUCUUAGCUGGGGAUGGGAACACACUACUGCCGGCCGUGGCCAGGACAACCGUGUGUUGGCUUGGCUGGGACACACCCCGUCAGCCUGGGGCAUCACUCAGGAAGGGACCACAUAGUGCGGUCACCGGGGACAGGCUGCCUGCCUAGGGGUUGACACAGGACCCUCCAUCCCGGGACCCCACUCCACGGCCUCUUCCUCCUGUUCCAGCCGCUCUCCCAGAAAUCUGGCAGGCUCUUCCAGUCUCACACUUCCAGCCUGCGCCUGGAAUGACUGCUAUCCCUCCUCACAGGGAGAACUCCUACUCGUCCCUCAAAUCGAAGAUUCAGAUGCCCUCCUCUGUGAGGCACCUCAAUGCCCAGUCACAUUCCAGCUCACCCUCUACUCCUGGUCCCUCUGAACUGCAGCCCGGACCCUGUGCUGUUAUCUCCAGUGCCUGGCCCCCUCCCACCCGCACCUGGUCCCUCCUGGGUCCACAGUGAAGCUGGAGGAGUCAGGGUCAGACCCAGAAGCCCAGUCUUACUGGAACUGCUGCCCCAUCCUCAGACACACACACACACACACCCCCAGAGAAAACCACUGCUCUCGGCAAACCUGAGUGCUCCACCGAACGUUGGCUGCCUCCCGUCUGCCCGGACGCCUACUCCUCCCUGGGGCCCCGGCCUCGGCCUCUGCCCAGGUCCCGAGGGCUGCCCCUCCAGCUUCCCCUGCACACAAAGCCAGCCCUCGGUCCUGCGUCCCGCAGCAGCGGAGGCUAUGACAAAA
ensembl:lincRNA